rnacentral:rRNA from 1 species
CCGCGUGCGGGAUGAAGGCCUUCGGGUUGUAAACCGCUUUCAGCAGGGAAGAAGCGAAAGUGACGGUACCUGCAAAAGAAGCACCGGCUAACUAUGUGC